UAGGUUUAAUGUAUAGUUAAAAAUUUAUGUAAAAUACUAUUUGUUCUUAAUUUCAGAUGGAAAAAAUCGUUCAACAGAAUCUGGAUCAUCUUGUUGUUUGCCAAUUUGUAGGGUUGGCCAAGAUCCAAAUACUUCUGUUCCUGAGAAUGUAGGAAGGUCUCCAGAGAAAGAAAGAGCUAAUAAAAAGAAGGAUAGGAAGCCUACUGAAGUAGUGAGACCACAACCAUCCAGACCACAACCAUCCAGGGCUCAGCAUCUAAAGACAGACAACACUGGGAGAGCAGAGUAUUCUACUGAAACUGAAAUAUAUAAGCCACGUCCGCUCCCCUCUAUAAGUCGGCCUUCUGACUCUCCAAGACCAUUGCCAAAGAGGACUCCAGAUGAUCAACUAGAGAAGGGUGGUAUUCAACUGGAACCUUUAGUUGAUUCCACUUCUGAGAAAAAGAAAAAAAAGAAAAGAAAGAAGAAGGAAUCAAAGCAAUCUGAUGAAGAGAAUUAAACUAACUCCUAACACAACCCUAUACAUGAAGCUUAAAUCUGUGAUAAAGUGAAAAUUGUUCGUUUCAUACAAAUAUUUAUCAUCAUACUUCAGUAUAAACAAGUAUUCAAUUGUCAGAUUUUAACUAAAAGGGGAAGGGGGAGUAGGGAAAGGGAGGGGGGUGGAUACAGUUUCAACUGCUAAUGUGAUAAUGAUCAUUCAAUGUCCCCUUUUUUUUAUAUGAUUACAUUGCAAAAACAGGUUCUAUUCACAGUAAGAAAUGUUUCAGAGCUUUCAAAUGAAACAGAAAGAAAUAUUUGGGUUUUUUUGUCAGCAUUACUGCUUAUUUUUCACUACAUUUCGAACUUUUUUGGGAAAAGAUAUUUUUUCUGAUUGUUGGAUAAACAGUUUUCUGCAAAAUAUCAGACAACAAUAGUCUAGUUGCCAAUUACAAUUAUGAUUGUAUUAUUAAAACAUCAGUUGUUUCUCUUUGACAAUUGUAGAUUAGUUCUAAACCAAAGUAUGAUAGGUGGAAAGUGAUAUUUUGAAGUCUUAACCAAAUUUUAAUGAAAAAUAUGGAUUGAUAUCAAAAGUUUUUAGUUUAAAAUAAGAUUAAUUGUAAUAAAAAAUUUGAAAUGUUAAGUGCAGAUAAACUUGCUCUUUCCACUAGUUUUUAAUGUCAAUGAAGAUUAUGUACCUACUAAGGGAAAUGACUCAUACUCAUGGAUUUCUACUUAAAGGGUCAAUUAUGGAAUUGGCAAAUAGAUCAUUGGGAAAACUCUUUUUAAUGGAGUAUCUAGAGGUUUCUAUAAAUUAAGCAUGGCAACAUAUUCUUUUUAUGUAUUUAUUACAAAAUGCACAAUGAAAACCAACUAAUUAAAAUUUUUUAGAAUAUUACAAAACAAGAACCGUUUAAUACCCUGUAGAAUAAAGGGCAAAAAAUCUAACAUAUUUUUGUGAGAAAGUCAAAAUUUAAUCAAGUUUUGAAUGAAAAUAAAACUGCAAAAAUGAAAAUAAUAUCAAUAUGUAGUGUUAUUUUCCACUGAUGCAUAUACAUCAGCUCUAAAUCACACCAGUUUGGCUAUUUUAUUUCCAAAUAUAACCAGUUUUAGAAUAUUUUCAAGUUGUAAGAAAAUUUCACCAAAAUUAUAAAAAUUCUCAAUUUUGAGUCCAAUUUUUCUUAAAAACAAGCACUGUAACCUAUAUUUUAUUUCAUGAUUUUUCAAAAAUAUCAUCUCUAGCUACAACAUAUUUAAAAAUAUCAAAAAUGACAAUACAAUGUGAAAGUGUAACAACUCCCUUAAUGGCUAGAUCCAUUUUUACUUUUAACUUAAAGAUGAAAUGACUACCAUGUGUUCCAAUUGUCUUGAUUUUUUUUAAACAUGCAGCUGUGUUUAAGUUCAGAAAUUGUAUUUAUAAACCAAAAUAAACACUACCUUAAAGAAUUAUUAGAGACACCUAGAUAUUUAUGACUUUGAGUAUGUGAAUGGUACAGUACAAUUUUUUAUUCAUGUUUGUUAUAUGUAUAGAAUUUUAAUGAAAAAAAUCACUUUUUAUACGACCGCAAAAAAAAUUUUGUGGUCGUAUAUUGGUAUGACGUUGGCGGCGUCGUCCGGCGUCGUCCGGCGUCGUCCGAAGACACAUUGGUUUUCGCACUCUAACUUUAGUUUAAGUGAAUGGAUCUUUAUGAAAUUUUACCACAAGGUUCAAUACCACAAAAGGAAGGUUGGGAUUGAUUUUGGGGGUUAUGGUAAUAACAGUAAAGGAAUUAGGGGCCAAAAAUAAGCAUUUUUGUAACUUCCAGACAUAACUUGUGUGUUAGUGUAUGGAUCUCUCUGACAUUGUACCACAAGGUUCCAUAUCACUAAAGGAAUGCUGGGAUUGAUUUUGGGGGUAAUUGCCUCCAAAUUUUAGGAAUUAGGGGCCAAAAAAGGGGCAAAAAACAAGCAUUUUUCUAGUUUCAUGACAAUAACUUGUGUGUAAGUGUAUGGAUCUUUCUGAAAUUGUACUACAAGGUUCCAUAUCACAAAGGGAAAGCUGGGUUUGAGUUUGGGGGUAAUUGCCCUAAACGUUUAGGAAUUUGGGGCCAAAAAGAGGCCAAAAAACACAUUUUUUUCUAGUUUCCAGACAAUAACUUGUGUUCAAGUGUAUGGAUCUCUCUGAAAUUGUACUGCAAGGUACCAUACCACAAAGGGAAGGCUGGGAUUGAGUUUGGGGGUGAUGAAUCAUAAUGGGGGUUCAAAAAAUUUUGGGGGGGGAUUUAUUUUUUUUUCCUUUUUUUUCUUUUUUUCCUUUUUUGUUUCUUUUAAAAUUUUCCAUUUUAAGUUGGUUAUUUCUGAUUUAUAUUUAAAAUCAAAUAAUAAUGAUAUGGUAGGAGAUACACACCAAACAGGAUGUGUAAAUUAUUAUAUAAUAAGUAUUGUGCAAUAGCAAGAAAUUUUCAAUUGCACAGUAUUGCACAAUAGCAAGAAAUCUUCAAUUGCACAGUAUUGCGCAAUAGCAAGAAAUCUUCAAUUGCACAGUAUUGCGCAAUAGCAAGAAAUAUCCAAUAGCACAAUAUUGCGCAAUAGCAAGAAAUUGUCAAUUGUACAGUAUUGCGCAAUAGCAAGAAAUAUUUAAUAGCACAGGAUUGUGCAAAAGAAGAUACUUCCUAUAAAUUGCUUAUUUCUUGACCAAUUUCAAUGGGGUUUUAUUCUUGAUUUC